rnacentral:rRNA from 1 species
GAGUUUGAUCCUGGCUCAGGACGAACGCUGGCGGUGCGCCUAAUGCAUGCAAGUCGAACGGUCCCGGUUCGCUUCGGCUUAUCGGGAUAGUGGCGAACUGCUGAGUAACACGUAAGUGACCUGCCCUGAAGCGGGGGAUAAUCCCGAGAAAUCGGGCCUAAUACCGCGUACCUACCGCGCCGACACGUCGGUGCGGUAGAAAGGUCCUCGACUUGUCGGGGAUCGCUUUUGGAGGGGCUUGCGGCCUAUCAGGUAGUUGGCGGGGUAAUGGCCCACCAAGCCGAAGACGGGUAACCGGUGUGAGAGCAUGAUCGGUCAGAGGGGGACUGAGACACGGCCCCCACUCCUACGGGAGGCAGCAGCAGGGAAUCUUGCGCAAUGGGCGAAAGCCUGACGCAGCGACACCGCGUGGGGGAAGAAGGCUUUAGGGUUGUAAACCCCUUUUCUCGGGGAAGAGUAAGGACGGUACCCGAGGAAUAAGGUUCGGCUAACUACGUGCCAGCAGCCGCGGUAACACUGAGGGUGCAAGCGUUAUCCGGAAUCACUGGGCGUAAAGGGCGUGUAGGCGGUCUGUUAAGUCCGAUGUUAAAGACUGGGGCUCAACCCCAGCACGGCGUUGGAUACUGGCGGACUAGACGGCUGGAGAGGCAAGUAGAAUUACCAGUGUAGCGGUGAAAUGCGUAGAUACUGGUAGGAAUACUCAUUGCGAAGGCAGCUUGCUGGACAGCACGUGACGCUAAGGCGCGAAAGUGUGGGGAGCAAACCGGAUUAGAUACCCUGGUAGUC